rnacentral:ncRNA from 2 species
GUUCAAAAUAUAGAAUGAUCUCGUAUAGUACCGGGGAUACGGCCCGGAAGUUUCUACCCGAAAACCGUUAAUUUUCGGACUACGAGGAUAUCAGUGUUAUGA